AGUGAACGCUGGCGGUAGGCCUAACACAUGCAAGUCGAACGGCAGCACAGUAAGAGCUUGCUCUUACGGGUGGCGAGUGGCGGACGGGUGAGGAAUACAUCGGAAUCUACUUUUUCGUGGGGGAUAACGUAGGGAAACUUACGCUAAUACCGCAUACGACCUACGGGUGAAGGCAGGGGAUCUUCGGACCUUGCGCGAUUGAAUGAGCCGAUGUCGGAUUAGCUAGUUGGCGGGGUAAAGGCCCACCAAGGCGACGAUCCGUAGCUGGUCUGAGAGGAUGAUCAGCCACACUGGAACUGAGACACGGUCCAGACUCCUACGGGAGGCCGCAGUGGGGAAUAUUGGACAAUGGGCGCAAGCCUGAUCCAGCCAUACCGCGUGGGUGAAGAAGGCCUUCGGGUUGUAAAGCCCUUUUGUUGGGAAAGAAAAGCAGCAGGUUAAUACCCCGCUGUUCUGACGGUACCCAAAGAAUAAGCACCGGCUAACUUCGUG
rnacentral:rRNA from 1 species